GUGGGCCACCCCCGACACAUACAUACAGACACACACACAAACACAUACACACAGACACACACACAAACACAUACCCCCCUCGACAGACACAUACAUACAUACAGACACACACAUACAUACACACAGACAGACAGACACACACAUACAUACACACAGACAGACACACACACAGACACAUACACACACACACAUACAUACACAAAGAC